rnacentral:lncRNA from 1 species
GCAAGGCCGAAUUCCGUUUCACAGAUAGAGGACUGAGAUCUGGAGGCAGAGGGCAGGAAUUAAAAACAAGACAAACAAGAGCCUUAUACAGGCAGUGUCUUUCUGAGUCUGAUCCCUGUUGUCUUGAGAGCUGCGGUGAGGGAAAGUCGUCUUCAGAGCCCUCAGGGUCAAAGCAGUUUGUUACCCUUGAGAUAGACAAAGCUCCUAACCUCUCCAGCUUUUUGCCGACAGCUCGAUUCUGAUGGGCACUGACCUUUUCCGACCCUGUUUUCAGGAGCCGACUCCUGGCAGGUUGGUUGUAGGGGCCCUCUUGAGUGCUUCACACACAGCAGUCCUGUUGAGCUUGGAUUCCAGCCUCAAAUUCCGCGAUUUGGCCGGCAUCCUAAUCCCCGAGUGACUCUUGCCAACCACUCUCUGUGGGGCCUGUGUGCUUCCUCCUGGGUUCUGGGGCGCUGGCGGCGUCCGCUUCACCGGGAACGGGAGCCCCAGCCUCCCGAGGCCUUCCUGCCUGGCUCUGGGAAUGGCCACUGUCCAGAAAGCCCCGCGGCCGUCCAUGCUCGCUCGCUCAGUCAGGCCCUUGUGGGGAUAUUGCAGAACGAGUCCGAGUUACUAUCCCUUUAAAUACAGGCGUUUCGGCCUAGCUGCCGCCGGUCCAAUCCGCAGCGCUUCCGUGCCCCACUUUCCCGCGUCAGCCUGGCUCCGGCCUCCACCAGGGGGUGCUAGUGAGAUCCCAGCCAGCCUCAGAGCUGAGCGUCCAGGGCCUUCAAAUGUCCCCAUCCUUGAAAAGGCAACUCCAGUGGCAUCUUCUGCGGGGAGACCAGAAGCAGCAUCUGACGAGGAGACAGCACUGGCGGUCCCGACACAACUGAAUCGGCAGGAUGAGGGCCCUUAGUGUUAGGCACCGGCGGAGCUGCAUCCCACCCCGUCUCGUCCCCUGAGAACAGCUGUGAGAAGCCGCCUAUUUUUCAUCGUUCUGCAACACACCUUUCCCUUCCUUGGGAUAUUUCUCCUCUUUCAGCAUUGCCGCAUCAGGGUUCCAAAGCCCCGUUUCUCUCCUAGUUCUUUCUUUGCUCAAGAAAAGCAGCUUGUCUGAUAAACUAAGCUAUGUAUGAUUCGCUGCCAGUACAGACUGAAAAACAAAAUAAACUCCCAAUUCACAGUCCUCCGUUGCGUAACAGUGAGCAGACGUUCUGAGAAAUGCAUCGUCAGGCAAUUGCAUCAUUGUGCAAACAAUAUAGAGUGUACUUACCCAAACCUAAACAGCACAGCCUACUACACACCCAGGCUGUAGGCUGUGCUUCUAGACUACAAACCUGUACAGUGUGGUACUGAACACUGUAGGCAACUGUAACACAAUGGUGUACCUAAUUCCUCUGCCUAGAAAGUGUGCUGGAAUUACUGCCUGGCUUCUGAUGAAUAGGGCGUAUUGAGAGUGAUGCUUUGUGAGUUCUGAGGCUAGGUCAUAGAAAGGAUUGAACUUAUUCCUGAAUGUUGCUCUUGGAUCACUUGCUUUUUUGGGAACCACCAGCCAUGUCAUGAGGACACUCAAGCAACCCUGCAGAGAAGCACAUGUGUGGAGAGGCACUUCUUGGAAAGGAGGCCAACUUGCCAGAACCAACUAAUUUGUCAUGUGAGUGAGUCAUUUUGGAAGCAGAUCCUCUACCCUCAGUCAGGCCUUCCGAUGAUUUCAGCCCCCAGCCUUUGAGUCUGCCCCAAACACCAUGAGUAGAGACAAGCCCUUCCCACUGUGUCCACCCUGGCUGAAUUCCAGACCGUUAAAAAAACAAGAGAAA